rnacentral:rRNA from 1 species
CCUACGGGUGGCAGCAGUGGGGAAUAUUGGGCAAUGGACGCAAGUCUGACCCAGCAACGCCGCGUGAAGGAAGAAGGCUUUCGGGUUGUAAACUUCUUUUAUGGGGGAAGAACAGAAGCCGGUACCCCUUGACAAACCCCCGGCUAAAUACGUGCCAGCAGCCCGGGUAAUACGUAGGUGGCAAGCUUUUACCGGAUUUACUGGGGGUAAAGGGCGUGCAGCCGGAAAGACAAGUCAGAUGGGAAAUCCACGGGGUAAACCCGGGGAUUGCAUUUGAAACUGUUUCCCGUGAGUGUAGGAGAGGUUGGCGGAAUUCCGGGUGUAGCGGUGAAAUGCGUAGAUAUAAGGAAGAACACCAGUGGCGAAGGCGGAUUACUGGGCGAUAACUGACGCUGAGGCGCGAAAGCGUGGGGAGCAAACAGGAUUAGAUACCCGAGUAGUC